rnacentral:lncRNA from 1 species
CUUCAUAUAAAAAAUCAGACACUGACUCGCGCUAAUCAACUACUAUCACACGCUGUCCACAUAAAGUACAUUAGUUUACAAAAGUACCCUUCUAACAGUUAUCAGUUCUACUCCACUUAAAAGUGCUAUAAUCCAGUGUGUCUCGUCGGCGCUAGGCCUCCGGCGCAUUGUACGAUACCCAGAUUCACUUAUUUUAGGCAAGAAAAAACAGUAAUACCAAAUUAAAAUUAAAAUCUAAAGGAGUACAUUGACUGACCAGGCAAAAUCAAAAAUCCAUAAGAAAAAAAAUUAAAAACAAACUGAGAUCGGGAAAUGAUUAUCGUUUAAGACAUAGGUUUCCGGCAGAGAAUCAUAUGCAUCGGAGAGAAAAUUUCAGUUUCGCCUCCUCUGGACAAGAAAUCAGCAGUCUUAAACAACAUCUCGUGAACAUCGACGGUUCCCUUAGGCGCAACUCCAACAGCAGACAGAAUCUGAACCACAAUGUGGUUCCUCCAAUAAGCGAGCCGACCCAUCUUAAGCCUAGUCCACCACGGCUCAGCCGGUGGAGCCGCUAGAUCCUUCUCCUUGACAACUUGGAAGCCAACUUUCUUGGCGGCCUCGGCUAUAUCCGAGUAAGCCCUAAGCCCAGGAAGCGCGUCACCCCUCUCGAUGCCUUGGAUGACCUCCACGUGUUCCUCAUCCUCGGCGUUGAACUUAUCAGUGGUGACCCACUCGUACGAUACGUACAAAGAUCCGGGUUUCAACACCCUGUAGAUCUCGGCGUAGACUUCUUCCAGGUUCGGCGCGUGACACGUCGCUUCGAUAGAGUACGCGCCGUCGAAGGUGUUAUCAUCGAAGGGCAUCUGGAGGAAGUUACCACACACGACCUCGCAGAGCGCGUCGAGUCCUGCUUUUCUGUUGUGGUCACGCGCUCUCUUCACCUGGUACUCGUUGAUCGUGAUCCCCACCACGUUGGCUCGCGAGUGGGAUGCAAUCGCGCGCAUCGGACCUCCGACGCCGCAUCCGACAUCGAGGAUCUUUUGACCCGGUUUCACUUGGAUCAGAUCUACGGCCAUCUCUUCGUGGAGGCGCGUGGCGUCGCGGUGGGAUUUGCCUCGGAUGGAAGGAGAGAAGUGGAAGGACUGUCCCCAUCCCCACUCGUAGAUGUCGGUGACGAGGUUGUAGAACGUGUCGACGAAGUCCGGGACUUUCUCGGCGGUUUCGAUCUCUUUCGGACGGCGGAAGAACGACCAGUACUGUUUGUACUUGUCUUGAACUUUCUCGGCCGAGAUGGACCCCCCCGAUAGAUCCAACGCUCGUUUUCCUUUUCGCUCCGCUGGUCCCAGGACGCACAGGAACCAGUAGAUUCCGCCGGCUACGAGAGCUCCGGUGAAGAAGAAUGCUACGCCGUCCAUUUUUUUAAAGAGAGAUAGAGAGGAGAGACGUUUUCGUUAUUGCUGGUUGAGAGAAGUCAUAAAUAGAUGAGAACAUAUAUUUUUUUGUGAAUGGACUCCCUUUAUUUCGCAUUUAAAGUUAUUAUUAAUGAGAAGAAGCCUAAUUUGUCCUUUGACUUGAAAAAUCUAAAGAUUCUUUUAUUUUUUGUGAACGAGUAUAUCCAAUGAAACAAAAUAUUUGAAGAAAAAAACGCUUAGUCAAAUGAAAAUUUACUUGCAAACUCCACGAAGUUUUCGUUAGUAAUUUAUGAGUAAUUUAUUAAAAGAAACAAAAAGUCAUUCCGUUUUAGUAAUUAAUCUAAAGAAACAAAACUCUAUUAUUUAACCAAGCGUUCGUGACUUGAUGUUAAAAGAGGUACAGUUGUACUGUCCGCCACCCGGAUUCAAACCUUGGCUACAACGGAUUUAACAUCCCUUCCGUUGGAGCGCUGGAUCUCCUACAGGGAUAGUUAGGAACGUGGCUGCCCAGAUACCAGAGUUACAAAAAAAAAAAAAAAAACAAAACUCUAUUAUGUACUGUUUAGGAAAACUGUUCAAACCAAUAAUCACUCAUCAGAAUUUGGAAAUUAAAUUAGUAGUAACAAAGUAAAACUGAUCUAACAUCUAUUUCUUUUGACAAUAAACGAAAAAGCAAAGAAGUGAUGUGAUGUACAUGGGAGAGAAGUACCGACCAGAGAAGGAGAAAUCACGUGGAAGCUUCUUUCUUUUUAAUGAAAAGCUAGCUUUUCGAAUUGUUUACAAAAGUUGAUUCAUCGAUCUGCUCUUAUUUCUUUUUGUUCUUGUCGUUUCUUUCUUGGCUUCUAACCAGACCACGUUACUUCAAAAGAUGCUCUUUCUCCUCUUCUCUAACCUUUAGAUCCCUCUCUCAAGUCUGUGCACUGUCUCAUUUUUGUUAAUGCAGCGAGUUCAGAGUAAAAUGCAGAAAUAAAUAUGACACAAGUUUUUCUCUUUUCAAAUUCACUAGAAUAAGAAAGUCUUACACCAAUCUUUUCUAUUAUAAGAAUCUUUUAGUAUUACCUCAAUCCUAAGCUAAAACUCACCCUAGAAUCUAAACUUUUGUUUAUCAGAAUCACUCUGAUCCCGAGCUAAACUCCCUCUGAGUCUAGGCUUCAAUCUUCCAACACUCUAGAAGUACUUCACCAACUACGUCAGCACCUAGCGCAGAGCAGUGAUACCAAAGGCUUGAUCACACAAGCAACAAACAAUGAUCUCUCGGCUUUUUUUUUUUUUUGCAGAGACAACUUUUUUAGUAGAGACACGUUCUCCUUGAAUAGAUAACCAGAACUUGCUCCCCAAGUUCUUCCAAAGACAACUUAAGCAACUUUCCUUUUUCUCUUAAGGAAUAACUCUCUUGUCUUUUACUCUUCAAAUAAUAUCCUUUACACUUAAUGUAAAUCUCCCAAUAAACAUAUUGCUUAUUCUCCGAGUUUAACAAGUCCACGGACAUCAAACAACACGAGCUCCAACAAAGCCCAUCUUCAUGACACACGCAUAUACUAUCUCCUGUAGUACUUCACAAACUGAUACUGAUACAAAAUAUACAUCUUCAAUUUUUGUAUCUUUUUCACUCAAAAUAAUUUUACUCUCUCUUGCGGUUUAAAAUGAAAGUUGUCACUAGUGAAAUUGUUACUUUAAAACUAUUAGCAUUAUUAGUAUUCUAAUCUUUACCAAAAUCUUAAAGUUCUGAACGUGAUUACAAAAACAUUAUUAGAACCCAAAAACAUAUGUUUAUAAGUGAACGUGAUUAAAUAUAAAUCGUACGUCACCGGCAAAUACCGUAUCAGCAGCAGUAUUGGUGAUUAAGAGGUUACGACGACUGACUCCCAUGCUCUAUAAAACUGAGCUUCAUUAGUUGUGUAUCUUGUUUUCCUCGGUAGGAACGUACACCCUGCAUUAGCAAGUUCAUGAAGGAUAAGAAGAUGAUGGGUCCCGACUGUCAGGUCACAAAGAUACUUAGGGCGUUUGUCAAGUUUAUGUUAAAAACUUUUAGAAAAAAAAAAAAAAGCUUAUGUUAAAAACUUAAAAAAUAUAAAAAGAAAAUGACUAUGAUAGCACUAAAAUUUUUUUUUGUCACAAAUAUAGCUUCUAAGAAUAAAAAUGACUAAAAUAACACUUAAUGUUUUAUCAAAAGAAAAUAUACAUUUAUACCCCAAUGAUAAAUUAAUUUAGACAUUAAGUUUUAGAGUUAAGGGGUGAGGUUUAGGAUUUAGGGUUUAGGGUUUAAGGUUUAGGGUUUAGGGCUUAGAGUUUAGGGUUUAGAGUUUAGGGGUGGGGUUUAGAGUUUAGGGUUUAGAGUCAAGGGGUGGGAUUUAGGAUUUAGGGUUUAGAGUUUAGGGUUUAGAGUUUAGGGUUUAGGGUUUAGAGUUUAGGUUUUAGGGUUUAGAGUUGGGGAGUGGAGUUUUGGGAUAAGAUUUCAAAUUUUGAAAAAUAAAAAAAAAUUAAAUUUUUCAAAAAAUAAAAUGUUAUUUUGGUCAUUUUAGUUUUUGAAAGCUAUUUUUGUGACAUAAACUUAUUUAGGAGAUUUGCCCAAAUAUAAAUAACACGAAUAUAUAUACUAGUUUGGUGCACAAUCAAAAGUUCAUAAAUAAAGUACUUGGACCCUGUUGUUUGUCCAAGCAACGCAAACAAGAUAUAUUUUUUCAUUUUGUGUUGAGAGAACAUUUGACCCCAAAACUUUUACAGCUUAUCGGAUUUUAACUGCGUUUACAGUAUAUGAUUCAUGACAUAAAGUUUGCGGGUUUCAAAGCAACCUACGUAUGACCUAAGUAGACCUUCAUUGAAAUGUUAUUUAUAAAGAAUAAUUUAUCAAAGCAUAUAUAACAUAGUAAGCCUCACUUAAAUAUUUGUAUUCUACUCCCACCGUUUGGUUAUACAAUAAGUUCACCUUUAUCUAAAUUAAUCUGGUAUAGGUUUCGCUUCAGUCACGUGUUCAAUUUUUAAAGCAUUUGUUAAGUUCUUAAACCAAAUAUUCCAUGUAUUGGUUCUAUAUGUACUGAAGAAUAUAAUGAUUUUGACGUUUAAUAUAAAGCUCUUUCUAUCUGUUGAAUGUAUAUACCCUUUGUGUGAUUUCGUCUGUUUCGUUCUUUAUGAAUCAUUUUUGUAAGGUUUCCGAAAGUUGUCCAUAUUGUUGGUAAAUUCUAAGUGAGAGAUCUUUAAGGGCAAGCCUCUUACUAAAGAUUAUAGUUUAACACUCACCUUCCUAUGCGUGCGUUUAAUUAGGGAAGAGUUGGACUCGAAGAAGAUGUGGAAUGACCAGAACAAAAAGUUCUGAAGAAAAUUCUGAUAAGAACACAAUUUCAAUUUGUCCUUAUCAACCUCAUCAAAAAAAUUCCAAGGCAUAUCAUUAUAUGUAUGAUCAAAUUCAAUAUUUAUAAUCUACAUAUCAUUGAAUUACAAAUACAAACAUAAUAUCUUCAUAAUAGAACAUGCCCACGUAUUGAUGUAUAAUACAUGAUUUUGAGUUUUGAAUGGUAUAAUCACAAUUUAAAUUAUCUUGUUCAUCAUCAUGUUUGUGGUAGUUAGUUAUUUGAUUCAGCAAUCCUUGUAUCUUGUCAUGAAAAGCUAACUUAAUGGACGAGACGAAGGAGGGUACGAAGAUUGAACAUCUUGGCAAGAGGAAGGACAACAUUUUCCUUUAUUGCUACACUUCUUUCCGGGUAUUCGGCAGUCUUGUAAUUUAUGUUGUCGAUUCCUUGUCAAAAUCAUAUAACCGAAACAAUCCAUUUGUGGUUAUGAAAUUAUUUUUUGUUUAAAUUGUACUGAUUGCAUUAGUUUUAUGGUAUAAUUUGACUCUUUAAGGAAAAUACAAAUGACAAUUGACGUACUAUGAUGAAGUUUUGAUUCAUAAGCUAGUAGUCAUCUAAAACAUUUAUAACACAUAACUAAAAAAUGGUUUCAAUUAAAAUCGAACAAAAACAACUAAUGAGAUUUGGAGAUUGUAAUGCUUUCGUAGAAAAUUACAUAUCUGAGAUUUACUUAAUUACGUUGAAAAUAUGUUUCUACUAAAUUUUACAUUGUUUACACUAACCAAAAAAAAUGAGAAAAAUAAAAUGUUAAUAUCUUAUGAGACUAUACGUUCGUAUAGAAAAAGAUCUUCUUAGUUAAUUAAAAUCUUUAUAAGCGUAGUAUUAAACCUUCACUCAGAUUCUCUAUUACUAUUUCAUAAUCAUAAUUAUUUUUUAGAGAAUUUUCAUGUUUACCACUUUCUUAGUAAUAUUAUUCAUGUUUAACACCACUAAAAAUAUAUUUUCAAAAAUACAUUCUUCAUUAAGUGGCAAAAGACCUUUAUACCUUUGUUAUCUAUAUAUAUAAUAAAUAAUUAUUUUAACAGUUAUUUGAAAAUAUUAUAAAAUUUCCAAAAAUAGAAUUAUUAAACAGAAUAUUAACAUCACUUUUAGCCGAUUGUUGCUAAUGUGGAGUUUAAAAAAACAUAUCCACGGAAUAGUAACAAUAUUUGAUUUACAUUUAGUUUUCAAAAAAGAAGUUUAAAACAAAAUUAACACAUUGAGACCAAUUGAGAAAUAACCAAUUGGAGAAUAUUUGGCGUUUUCUUAAAAAAUUAGUUCAACCAAUUCAAUAAUUUAAUAAACCAUUGUAACUUUUUAGAUGAACAUUUGUAAUUAUUUAUUUGUAUCAUUGCAUUGUCAAAUAAAUAUUCGCAACUGUAUAAAUGUUCUAUUACUCUGAAAUUGUUAACCAUUACAACAUUUGAUGAUCAACCAUUGUCUGAUUAACCAUUGCAAACUUUUAAAUUUAAUUAUUUUUUAAAAAAUUGUCUAUAUAAGGGUUGUAGACAUUGAUAAAAUCCAAAGACACAAUAAAAGGAGAGAAAUUAUUGUUGUCCAUCCUUUUUAUUUUUUGAAAAAUAAUUUAUGUUGUCCAUUUUCCAAAGAGAUUUUGUAUAAGCUCAAAUUGACAAAUGUUAAAAUAUGAUUUUAAAAAUGUGUUCAUGCAUGAUUAAUCAUUAUAUAAAUUCAUAUUAUAUAACAAUUUGACUAUUCAUUAAAUUACCGUAUUUACCCUUAUGUUAACCAAUUAUAUAAACUUUGAAUGUUAAUUAAUUAUAUUAAAUGGCCUAAACAUUAUGGGAAUAUUUUUACCGUUGAUGGUAUAUUUCUUAGUUUAUUUAGAAAUAAAUAAAUAAAUAAAUAAAUAUAUAUAUAUAUAUAUAUAUAUAUAUAUACUCAUGACAAUCAAAAUCAUAACAAUCGUUGUUGAUUUUCAAAUUAUUAUCUAACUUGUAUAACCGUAAAACUGUGUAUAACCGUAAAACUGUGUAUAUUGCAUUGAUCAAUCGUUUCUAACGUAACAUAAUAAACUAAUGUUGACAUUGACUUACCUAUGACAGCAUAACUAAUUUUAUAUAUAUCGUCUAUAGGAACCACCAUACAUAAUUGUUCCAAUAUAUUACGCACAACAACAUCAUAUUUUAUGAUAAUUAUGAAAGUCUCUACUAAGGAUAACGGUAAAACAGUUUAAAGUUUUUUUUGUGCAGCCCAUAAUUUAAAGCCCAUAAUUUAAAACAGUAUGAAAGAGUUCUGAUUUUAAGCAAUAUUUUUUUGUGACAAAAUCCAGGAGAGUUUAAUCUUAAAUAUAGAUGUGAAUAAUUGUAAUAAAUUUUGGAUUAUGAUUUCUUAAAAAGAAAAAAAUACUAUUUAAAUAGGAAAUUUUAUUAUUUAUAAGGAAAUAUUUGAAAUAUUUAUUUUACACUUUUUUUUGUUUAGAUAAAUAAAAAGAAAACUACAAUUAAACACCCUUUAAAAAAUUUAUUUUGUAUAAGAUUUUAUAAAAGGAUAAUUACUAUCAAGUAAUUAUUUACAAUUAUAUUUUCUUUAUGAUUUUAGAAAACAAAAAUUCGUAUUAAAUAAAUUGUUUUACAGAUAUUUUUUGUUUAAAAUUUUUUAAAAGGAAAAAAAUAAUUUAGAGAAAGAAAAUUACUGUCAAAUAAAAACUAUCAAAUAAUCUUUUGCUAUUAUCUUUGUUUAGAAUUUUAAAAAAGAAAAAUUAAUUAUGAUAUAUUUUAACACAUGUCAUCAUCCUAAAUUUUUAAUUGUCAUUUGCCACCAUCAUGUUAAUUAUUAACUUUGAAAUAAUAUUUUGCUAUUAUCUUUGUUUAGGAUUUAAAAAAAAAAGAAAAUUACUAUUAAAUAAUUCAUUUGUGUUAUUAUCUUAUUAUAUUUAUCUUAUUAAUUAUGAUAUAUUUUAACACAUGUCAUCAUCUUAAAUUUUUAAUUGUCAUGUGUCACCAUCGUGUUAAUUUGUAACUUUGAAGAACCAAACUUUAUAUAAUAGAAUACUUUUGUAUAUAAUUCUUAUUUUAAACUAUAUUUAAAAUUUAAUAUUUUUUCCUCCCCAAACCGCGGGGGUUUGAAUCUUAGUGUUUAUAAUAUGAAACAUGUAAUAAGAGUUUCUACAGUGCGUCUUGAAAUAUUUCAAAUGAAUAAUCCUUAUCUACAUCUUUCUGUUGUGAAACUAGAGAAUAGAAUCUAUGAGGAGCCCUUUAUAUAUAGGGAAUUACACCGUCAUAGAAUAAUAGAAAGACUAAAGAAAGGAAAUACAAAUAUGGAAAGAGUACAAAUCAUAAUCUUAUAAGGAAAAGACAAGAUGCUGAUUCUCUCUCUCUUUCUCUCUCUCCUCACGGUCGACUCUCUCUCUCUCUAGCAUUGGGCCGGUUAUGAACCAGGCCGGUUAUGGACAUCCACAAUAUGAUUUAUAACACUCCCCCUUGGAUGCGAUAACCAUACAUGGAUUGUAAUACGCUUUAGAUGUUGCCUCAUUAAAACAUUAUCAGGAAAACCCAGUGGGACAAAACCAUGGUUAAAGGAAAAAAGUACAACACGUAUUACUCCCCCUGUUCUGAAUAACUCGCGGCUGGCCUCAUGAACAGCCAAGAUCUCCGAAUUGUUUGAAGAUGUGGCCGCGAUCGUGUGCUUCAUGGAACACCAUGAUAUGACUGUUCCACCAUGUGUGAAAACAUAGCCUGUCUGUGAUCGAGCAUCGUGUGGAUCCGAAAGAUAACCUGCAUCAGCAAAAUCAACUAAACCUUCUUUGUUUUGGUUAGUAUAAAAUAAACUCAAGUCUUUCGUUUCUUGCAGGUAACGAAGAACAUGUUUAAUCCCGUUCCAGUGCCUUUGGGUUGGACAAGAGCUUAAUCUAGACAAUAGAUUCACGACAAAACAUAUAUCUGGUCGUGUGACUAGCCAGAUACAUCAAAGCUCCUAUGGCACUGAGAUAUAGGAUUUCGGGACCAAGGACAUCUUUAUCGUCCAUCUUAGGACGGAACGGAUCAGUGUCCAGGCCGAGGGACCUCACGACCAUGGGGCUAGAUAAUGGGUGAGACUCGGCCAUGUUGAAUCUCUUGAGUACUUUUCUGUAUAUGCCAUUUGAUGCACAAGGAUUCCAUCUCUUAUGUACUCAAGCUGUAAUCCCAAACAAAACUUUGUUUUUUUUCAAGAUCUUUCAACUCGAAUUCUUUCUUAAGAUAUUCAACUGUUUGGGAAAUCUCUCCAAAGGUUCCUAGGAUAUUCAGAUCAUCAACAUACACUGCUAUGAUCAUAAAUCCUUUAUUUUCGAAUUUCUUUAUGAAAAUACAUGGUUUGAUCGGGUCAUUCUUAUAGCCCUCUUUCACUAGGUACUCACUUAGUCUAUUGUACCACAUUCGACCUGAUUGUUUCAGUCCAUAAAGUGACUUAUUCAACUUUAUAAAAUGUUGUUCUCGAGAGCUCGAUUUGUCUUUCAAUUCAAUACCCUCUGGUACUUUUAUAUAUAUCUCAUUAUCCAGUGGACCAUAUAAGUAUGCAGUUACUACAUCCAUUAACCGCAAGUCUAAGUUUUCUCUUAUAGCUAGACUUAUUAGGAAUCUAAAAGUAGUAGCAUUCACGACAGGGGAAUAUGUUUCCUCAUAAUCAAUUCCUGGUCUCUGUGAGAAUCCUUGUGCAACAAGCCGUGCUUUAUAUCUCACGACCUUGCCGUGUUCAUUUCUUUUCCUCACAAAGACCCACUUAUAGCCGACUGGUUUAAAAUAAUAUGGUGUCCGGACUAUUGGUCCAAAGACAUCACUCUUCUUUAAAGAGUUUAACUCCACGUUUAUAGCUUCUUUCCAUUUGAUCUAAUCUGAUCGUUGAGUGCAGUCAUAAAUAGACGUGGGUUCAUGAUCCUCAUUCAAAUCCAUAAGUUCAAGUGCUACCUUGUAUGCAAAUAUAUCAUCAAUGUCGACAUUCUUUCUGUUCCAUUGUAACAAGACAUAAUUUAUUGAGAUCUCAUUAUUAUCAGGACCUUCACUACCUUGAAUCUUGGCGUCCUAAGAAUCAGUAUUAGAUACAUCAAGGCCGGCCGCAUCUAAGCAUUCAUGAUCGGCCAUGAUCGCUAUUAGGGUUUUGGGAUCGGCAGCGGUUAAGUCCCGGGAUUUAGGAACGGCCGCGGUCGUGUCUAGGGUUUCAACAAGCUCGGUUUCAUUCUAUGCACCUUUCUUAGUUUUCCGAGGGUUCUUAUCUUUGGAACCUAUUGGUCUACCACGUUUCAAACGUUGUCUAGACUCUGUAGCAACUUGAUUGUGUCCCUCUUGAACAUCAAUUCUGAUUGGUGCAUUAGCAGGUAUAUAUGACUUAGUCACUCUUUUCGGGUCAGCAAAGAAAUCUGGCAAUUGAUUAGCUAGCUUUUGUAAAUGUAUAAUCUUUUGGACCUCUAAAUCACAUUCCUGAAUCCGAGGAUCUUGCCAAGAUAAGGAUGUUUGAUUCCAUGUAAUCUUUUUUUACCAGCUUAUUGCUAUCUCCCCCUAAUGUUGGAUGUUCAGAUUCAUCACAGUGACAAUCCGCAUACCUGGCCUUAAAUAAAUCACCCGUAGUUGGCUCAAGGUAUUUUAUAAUCGUGGGGGAAUCAUAUCCAACAUAUAUCCCCAUCCUCCUUUGAGGUCUCAUCUUUGUUCUCUGUGGUGGAGCAAUUGGUACAUAGACGGCACAACCAAAUGUCUUAAGAUGGGACAUGUCUGGCUCAUGACCCGUAAGCAAUUGUGAUGGGGAAUAUCUAUGUUCACUAGAUGGCCUGAUGCGUAUGAGUUCAGCCGCGUGAAGGACGGCGUGUCCCCAAGCUGAGACCGGAAGUCUCGACCUCAUAAACAAUGGUCUAGCUAUUAGCUGUAUGCAUUUUAUAAAUGAUUCGGCCAAACCGUUCUCUGUAUGUACAUGUGCCACGGAGUGUUCCACACUUACCCCCAUGGACAUACAGUAAUCAUUAAACGCUUGGGACGUGAACUCACCAGCAUUGGUCUCUAUCAUUCCGACCUUAGCAUAGUAAAAGGCCAGUAGAGAGCGCAUGUAUAGACUCUAGGACUUUCUUAUAGCCUUGGCCGAUCUCUAUGAUCUGAAGAAACUCUUUGUUUCCUUCGCCCUUAGUCUCAAUAUGAAAGCCAUUCAUUCGAAUAUCUUUAAAGCUCAAUAGGCUUCUCUUAGAGCUGGGUGAAUACAAUGCAUCAGAUAUCUCUAGAUGCGUACCCUUAAGAAACAUGAUAUUAGCCUGGCCGUAGCCCUCUAUGAGACUUUAGAGACUUUUAUAUCAAAAACUUUCAUUCAUUAAUAAAAUAAGUUCAAAGCAAUCAAAACAUAGAAAACAUAAAGCAAAGAACACGAAAACAUAGAUGUCGAAUUCAACUUCAUUCUUUUAAACAAUCUGAAGUUUCAUAAUCCAUAAGAUCGUCUCGUUCAUGAUUGAAAUCAUCUUCACCAUCUUGAUAAGUAAUAUGAGCUUCAGGAUUCUUCCCUUUCAAACUCUCUUGGUAGAGGUCAACGAGAUGUUUGGGAGUCCUACAUGUCUUAGCCCAAUGAUUAUCCAUACCACAUCUAUGGCACACGGAUUUGGUCGAGUUUUGUGGUUUAAAUGAUGUACCACGACCUCGGCUAUGACCACGGCCUCCAUAAGAGUUUCCUUGGCCACGACCAAACGAGUUUCGGCCUCGACCACCACGUCCAUGCCAUUUUCCACGACCACGGCCGUGUUGGCUAUCACUCUGGACAUGGUUCGACUCUUUCUUAGCCUCUACGGUCGCAUGUGCCUCAGGUGAUGUGUUUGUUCCAGGAGGUCUCAAUUCACUGUUUCUCAUCAACAAUUCAUUGUUCUGCUCAGCGAGCAAGAGACAAGAGAUCAGAUUAGCAUAAGUUGUGAAGCCCUUCUCUCGGUACUGUUGUUGUAACAACACAUUGCUUGUGUGGAAGGGGAAAAGGUUUUCUCAAGCAUAUCCUUAUCUUUUAUAUUCUCACCACACAGUUUCAAUUUUGAAACUAUUUUAAACAGGGCUGAGUUAUACUCGUCCACGGACUUGAAGUCCUGGAUUCUGAGAUUCCUCCAAUCAUACAUAGCCUUUGGUAAUAACACCGUUCUCUGGUGAUCAUAUCUCGUUUUCAAUUCUGUCCAAAGGUCUAAUGGAUUCUCAAUGGUCAGAUACUGAUCUUUGAGACUCUCAGUUAGAUGAUGGCGAAUGAUCAAGAUGGCUCUGUAUCGAUCUUUCUCACUAGCAUCAUUGUCCUCGGUGAUACACUCACUGAGUCCCUUGGAUUUCAGGAUGAUCUUAGCAUCAAGUGCCCAUUGCAAGUAAUUAUCUCCAGAGAGAUUUAGGGCAGUAAAAUCCAAGUUGUUGAUUUUCGGCAUCUGAAAUUAUAUGUUUCAUAAUUUAGAUAUAAGAGUGUUCAAGCGAAUGCAAUCAAUAUGCUCAAGCAAUCCGGAUUCUAGGUAUGAUGCAAAUAGGUCAUUCGUAUAUGAUGCAUACAUGUUCAAUCUUAGCAUUCAGAUUCUAUAUGCAAUCAGUUCAUACUAUUAUGCAUGCAUGAUGCAAACAAGCCGCACGGCUACAAUCUUAGCAAACGGUUUCAAUGCAAUCAAUACAAUGGUUAUUCGUUUUCCAUCUUAGCAAACGGUUUUCUAAGAGUUCAAUGUGUAAUUGCAAUCAAACAGUCGAGCAAUGCAACAAUUAGGGUUCAUUCGAGAAUGUAUGAAAACUAUCAAUACUAGCCGGAUCAUUAUCAAGACGAGAAUGCAUAAAUUAUUUAACCUAGCAAGCGAUUUCUAUUUCAAUUCAAGCAUUCGGUUUUAAUCAAUCAAACAAGAUAGUAUUCAAUUUUAAUUUCAAGACAUUAGGGUUUCGAUCAAACAAUCAAUACGACUUCAAUUUGAAAAUCAUUCAAUCGGUUUUAUCAAUUCAAACAACCAAAUUCAAGAAUGAGAUUAUCAAUCCUAGCAAUCGAUUUCUAUGUGAUCAAAUUCAAUACGGUUUUAAUUAAUCAAGGCUAGCAUACUAUAUCCAAACAUACAAUCAUUCAAACAAUCAAUUUCGAUUCAAAGCAUUAGAUUCAGGUUUCGAUUUUAAUUCAUUCAAUCAAUCAAUUUGAUUUCGAAUUAGGGUUUAUAAAAUCGAAUGUGUUUUAGUAUUAGGGUUUUAAAUAAAAUUGAUUUCAUGCAUUCAUGCAAUAAGCAUGUAUGCAGCUAGGAUCAUGGAUAUUAGGGUUUCGAUUUUGAUCUUAGAUCAUUGGGGUUUUGAGAUUCAAAACCAUGAAGAUUUCGAUUUAAAUUGAUCAAACAAUCAAUCUCGAUUAGGGUUUGGGGUAUCGAACUUAUGAUUAUGAGCUUCAAUUUACUCAUUGGGGUUUUGAUCUAUUACCCUAUGGUUUUGAUUUCAACAUUAGAUCAUACUAUUAUGGUUUGUAGUUUUUAUGGUUUCGAUUCUUAUCAAACAAUCAAAUUUGAUUAUGGGUUCUAUUUAAGGUUUUGAAUUACCUUAACCUCAAGUAGGGUUGAAUGGACCACCAAAGAGAUGAACCGCGAGCUGGAACUGAUCAGAACGCGAGCUGAUGUUGUUGCGAGCUGUCUGGUUGCUGAGAUCGGGAACACGAGCUGUCCAACGUGCUGAUCGGGUCGCGAGCUGUCCGCGAGCUGUCUGAGAUCGUUUUGUUUGCGAGCUGAGGUUGAACAAGCCGAGAUCGUCUGAGCUAGGAUCAUGAACGCCUUGAGCUGAAGCUGAUCGGGAACAGAUUGCAAACAAGGAUCAUGAUGUAAGGUUUCGCGAUCGGGAUUAGGAUGGUUCACCGGUAAGGAUGUUCGCCGAUUAAGGUUAGGGUUUUAGGCGGUUUAUUUUAGUUUAGGGAUUUAGAUUCUAUCGUGCUGAUAACGUGUUGUGAAACUUGAGAAUAGAAUCUUAUAUAUAGGAAAUUGUACCGUCAUAGAAUAAUGGAAAGAAUAAAGAAAGGAAAUACAAAUAUGAAAAAAGUACAAAUCAUAAUCUAAUAAGGAAAAGACAAGAUGCCGAUUCUCUCUCUCUCCUCACGGUCGACUCUCUCGCUCUCUAGCAUUGGGCCGGUUAUAAACCGGGCCGGUUAUGGACAUUCACAAUAUGAUUUAUAAGACUUUCUUAUUUUUGCCAUCUUUUUUUUUAUACUGGGAUACUCAUGCGUAUCUUGAAAUAUGGACGUGCUCUUAAGCUUUAAUAAAUUACAAAGCAAACUACAAAUAUUACAAAUGGCCCAUUAGCCCAAGACACUAAUGUUUGUCCUCCAUAACAUCCCCUAUAUAUUAUUUGAGAAGCAUUACAACUUCUUUUUGUAGCCACAUAUCAUCACUAGAAUGAUUCUUAGAAUCAUUAGAGAAAUAUGUUGGUCCAUCUAAUUAUAUAAUAAGCUUUUUAUUAAACUAACAAUAAAUUCAUCAUUAAUGUACUUUAUUAUUUCCUUAAAUAAAAUUUACGGAAUUUCCUAAUGUGGCUAAAGUAUAUAUGGCAAUUAAUGAUUUUGAAUAAUAAAGAUUUGAUAAAAAAUAGUGUAUCUUCUAUCAUAUUUGUUUAAUUUUAAGCUAUUAAAUAAAUUAAACAACCACAAUAACCAUAUAAUAAAAAUUUAGAUUUUUAUGUAUAUGUUAUAUUUUGAAUUUUUACAAACGGCUAUAAAUUACUAAAACUGUUAAAAGUCUCACAUUCAAAUUUUAUGAUCCAUGGUUUAAAAUUUUUGUUAUGACAAAAUACAAAUGAUUACAAAAAUUAUAUAAGUAAAAAGUCUAAUUUAAUUAAUUAAUAAGAUUAAUAUAUAUAUCGUUUUAAAUUAAACUAUAAACCAUAUAAAAUACAAUAUUUUAGUUUCAAAAUUUACUUUGAACAAUUUUUUUGAUAAAAGUUUUGAACGAUCAUUGACAACUUAUUUUUUUUUUUAAUUAUAAAUUACUAAAACUAUUAAUCCCACAAUGAAAAUUUUGUUAUCAGUAAUUUAAAUUUUUUUCUAUAAAAGAUACAAAUGAUCAAAAAACUAUAUGAGUAGAAAUCAUCAUUUAAUAGACAUUAAUAUUAAAAAUAUACUAAAAUAUAUUAUCUAUGUUAGUAUCAUUUAAAUUUAAUAACAUAUCCUAUCAAAUAAAUAAAUUUUUUUGGAUUAAUACAAUUGAUUUAUAUGUUCGCACCAAUUUAAUUAUAUUUUUAAUAGUUACUGACUUUUAAUUAUUUAAUAUAUAUUUAUUAUUUUAUAAUAUGUAAAAAUAUUUAAUACAUAAAAUAAUUUAUAUAUAUAAUGUUGAUCCCGCGCAAGGCGCAGGUCUUAACCUAGUUUAAACUUAAAACGUAUUGGAAAACAAUUGAGAGUUAGAGACCCAACAAUUAACAUUUUUGUUAUCUUUCACAGUAGCAGCAUCACCUCUACUGCUACUUCCUUGAUGCUUGGACUUGUUCUGGAACUAAUUCUUGUUUGGGCAAGUGUUCCUGAAGUGUCCUUCUUCUCUGCAAGUCCAACACACCUUCUUGCUCUUAGACUUUGGUCUUGACUUUGACUGUCUUGAUGACCUGUCUUUGCUCUCUGACCUUCCUCUUUGAUCACUUCUAUCUCUGACAUACAAGCUCUCUGCUUGUCCUUUAGAGCCACGUGAGUUUGACCCUGUCUCAAGUUCCUUAGCGUAGAUGGCCGCAACAACUUCAUCAAGCGUUAGUGUUGUUCUUCCUGAGCCAUAUCUCAGCGUGUCACGUAGUUGAUCAAACUGUCUUGGUAGAGACAUAAGCAGCAAGACAGCUUGGUCUUCAUCAGAAACCAUAACACCAAUGUUCUCUAGAUCUGUUAUGAGAUGUAGAUAUUCAUCAAUGUUGUGUUCUAUCGACAAGCUUUCAGACAUCUUGAAACCAUAGAGUUUCUGCUUCAGGUAAAAUCGAUUUGGAAGAGCCUUAACAAGAUAGAGCUGGUCCAGUGCUCUAAUCAUCCCAGCAGCUGUCUCUUCCUUCCUUAUCUUCCUCAGAACUCUAUCUGUAACACUCAAGAUGAUAGUACUUCUAUCUUUCCUCACUUUUUCAGCUAAAGCUUCCGCCUUUUCUUCAGUUUCUUUCUUGUCUUCACUCGUUUCUCCUGGAUCUAUGACUUUUCCUGUUGGCUUGCAAGAUUCUUCCAAAGCUUUGCUCAAACCCUGAAGAUCUAUCUGAGCUAACAGUUUGUCUUUCCACAGUGUGUAAUCUCCAUGACCAUCAAACUUCUCAAUCUCCAUUCUUGUCGACAUGGUUCCUUAUGACCGUUAGAUCUUCAGGAACCUCCACCAGUUACCGUAACCUGGCUCUGGUACCAAUAUGUGAAGCAAACACCAAGCCUCAGAACGUCUCCUUAGGUUGAUAUGAAGCUCACACACACAAGAACUUGAUGAAGAGAAGAGAUAAGAACAGAACACUCUUGAAAAACAAAACACAUAACAGAGUAAAACUAGAAGAAAGCAAGGCACUAGCUUGAUAACCUAGUUACACCCGUUAACAAGGGUGUUAGUCUGGGCCGGGAACUGUCUCCUGGAAUCCACUAGAUCAGAGGUUACAAGAGAGUAUUCAGACAACCUCACAAGCCCCUUACAAAGCUACUCAACGGUUUCACUCUCUACCCCUUCCCAAAGAACAAAGAUACAAGUUUAUGCUGUGUAGUUUUGUUCUUACUUUCGGCUGCCUCUAUCUCUGAACAAUGUAUCUAUUUAUAUGUAAAGACAAUGUGACCUAGAUGCCUCUGUGAUGCCGUUUUGAUUCCAUCACAAGCAUGCUUCAUGUACGGACCUCUUCAUUUAACUCUGCCUUAUCUUCUUGUUCAAUAAACGACAAACAUCAGUUUGUUUUUGCUUUUAUGAGCUGUGGCAAAUGGCUAGUCCUUGUGGUCCUGCAUAGAGAAAGUCACGUGGUCUUGUCCAUGAUACACACUUGCUUCCUCUCCACGUCUAAAUCUUCUUCAGUUUUCAUGAUCUUCUUUACUAAGUCUCAACAAUAAGUUGGAGAAACAUAAAUGUUUUUUUUUUCUGCUACAAUAUGGACACAAUCAAUGGCAUAAGGAAUCUUUUUAUUGUCUCUCGCAAUCAGGGCUGGUCCUGAGAUUUUGAUUAUCUUAUACGAUUUAGUAAAGAUUUUAAUAAUUUUUGGGCCUAAAUUUUUUUUUUACAAAUUUUGGAGUCUAUCUAUAUAUAAUUUUUCUGGUCUAGGACGAAUGUUUUGUUAGGCUUAUCCAGGACCGGCCAUGCUCGCAAUUCAUCCGUUUACUGGGUAUACACGUGAAGCCUUUCCCAGGCAAAUGGUUUUGAUUACUGCCUUUUGUAUUGGAUAAGCUUCAAUAUUACUUGUAGAACAAGUUAUUCAUAAAGGAAUUUGGAUAACUAAUAUAAUUAGGAUUAGGAUAAAUGAAUAGGAUAGAGAAGGAUUUCUAUUGACUAUAUAAGUACAUCAUCAUGUGAUGAAUCCAUAAGAAAGAUAAUAAGCUUAUGUUUUAGUUUUGACUUUUGAGUUAAGUUUCUAAACAUAAUAAAAGGAAGGACUCUUUUAUACGAGCUGUUCGAUAUUGUUCUUGGCUACUUUACCUUGAAGAAUACAGGUGAAUCACGCUCAAACACUGUCUGUUCAAAAGCCAAGAUUAUCCAAGCUCGAAGUAGUGAUCUUUAUCUGAGCAAAAGGUUUUCUGAGAAAGUAGGGAUGUUACUUAAUAAUUCAAAAUAAAUCUACUCUUUAGUUAAAUCAAAAUAACUUUGGGAAUAUUGAAUGUUUAUAAUAUGAACAUGUUAGAACAUGUAAUAAGAGUUUCUACAGAGUAUCUUGAAAUAUGUCAAAUGAGUAACCCUUAUCAGCAUCUCUCUUAUUUUUGCCAUUUUUGAAUUUUUCUUUAAAUACUCAUGAGGUAUCUUGCAUACAUAUGCUCUUAGGCUUUCAUAAAUUAGAAAACAAACUAAAAAUAUUACAAAUGGCCCAUUAGCCCAAGACACUAAUGUUUGCCCAUAACAUUUAAACUUAAAACGUAUUGGAAAACAAUUGAGAGUUAGAGACCAAACAAUUAACUGGAGGAAAAGGUGGGCCUGGCUUCUCCUCAAGUUGGAAAAAUCGAGAUCUUGCCACAUAAGACCCGAUAGAUACUUAGAUAAGAAGAUAGUGACACCACGAUCUAUAUCUACAUUACAUAUCCCUCGUGUCCUUUUCGACGUGAAUCAUCACGAUCUGGAACUGGAAUACGAUCGCGACAAAGCUGUUUCUGUAUAUAAAAAAUAUAUAUUUGAGACACACGAUAUCACUUGGCCAUAAUCGAGCAAAAACAGAAGGGAAAUGUCUUUUGUUAGAUAUAUUUUCCUGUCACGUGACUCAGAAAGAAUCACGUGAAUUCUAUUAUUUUAUUAAGGAAAAAUAAAACGUAUCGACAAUUGAAAUUAUAAUGUUCAUAGCAUCCGACCACGCGCGCCUCCACUCUUCGCAGUUACUUCCCAACAACACUAAUGCCUUUGCGACAAACUGAAAACCAAAAUACCUAAUGAAGCUAAUUUUGAUUUCUUGUCGCGCCACGCACAAUUCUCUUUUUUUAACUAAAAUCUACUUCAUAUAAAAAAUCAGACACUGACUCGCGCUAAUCAACUACUAUCACACGCUGUCCACAUAAAGUACAUUAGUUUACAAAAGUACCCUUCUAACAGUUAUCAGUUCUACUCCACUUAAAAGUGCUAUAAUCCAGUGUGUCUCGUCGGCGCUAGGCUUCCGGCGCAUUGUACGAUACCCAGAUUCACUUAUUUUAGGCAAGAAAAAACAGUAAUACCAAAUUAAAAUUAAAAUCUAAAGGAGUACAUUGACUGACCAGGCAAAAUUAAAAAUCCAUAAGAAAAAAAAUUAAAAACAAACUGAGAUCGGGAAAUGAUUAUCGUUUAAGACAUAGGUUUCCGGCAGAGAAUCAUAUGCAUCGGAGAGAAAAUUUCAGUUUCGCCUCCUCUGGACAAGAAAUCAGCAGUCUUAAACAACAUCUCGUGAACAUCGACGGUUCCCUUAGGCGCAACUCCAACA